UACAAAGACUUCUUUUUUUUUUUUAUUUUUUUUAUUUUUUUUUAUUUUUUAACCAAUCGCAACUCUGUACGUUGGUAUUAUUCUAAGGGAGCAAAGCUUUGCCCCAACCCCCACCCCCAUGUCCUGGUACUCUUCCACUCUGAGAGCUUUAGAACCGGGGUUCCAAAGUCUCUGCUUAGCCUAACAGUGACGUGCUUGUCACAAAGCCAGAGGCCGGUGUACUCGGGUUAGAGAGGGCCUUUGUCGUUGGGUUUUAUUCUUAUUGUAUUAUUCGGGCUCCACCGACCCAAAUAUUAGUCAACUGGGUUGGGCGAGGUAGGACGGAUGAAGCCCACCGUCUAACAAUCUGGACAUCUAUAGGAGCAGAUCCGCCGCUCGAAACAGCUGACCCAGCGACGACUGCGGAACCACUAGCAGCGUCUGCACAGAUCGACCCCGCCAUCCCGCCGUCCCGUUCGGUGACCGGAGACGCAGCCGGGAACGCGACUGAUCAGGCUACCGAGCCGGGCCGCAGGGCGAAAGCGGUGCGGUCCGAGGCCUCAGAAAGGGACACGCAGCAGCGGCAGUGGCGCUGACUCAGCCCGGCCUCCCUGCAGUCCCCUCAAAUACAAAGACUUCUCCGCAAAUGUUUAUAGCAGCUUUAUUUGUAAUAGCCAAAAACUGAUCACAAUCCAAAUGUCCACCAACAGAUCAAAGGAGAAGCGAAUUGUGAUCUGUCCAUAUGAGGGGCUUGGUGCCUGCAGCAACAUGGGUGAAUCUCCAGGUAGUGGUGACGAGUUGAAGGAGCCAGUCAAAAAAGAACGUGCUGUGUGAUUCCAUUUAUAGAAAACUCUAGAAAAUGUGGACUAAUCUAGAGUGAGGGAAAGCAGACCCGUGAUUGCGCCUGGGGCAAGGAGACUUGGGGGUGGAGGGGGGGCCAGAGGGAGGGGUUUCAAAGAUGAUAAAGACAUUUUGAGGGUGAUGGAUAUGAUCCCUCUCUUAAUAGUGGCGAUGGCUUCAUGGAUAGAUACAAAUGUCAAGACAUAUUGAACUGUAUACUUUAAAUGCUUGCGCUUUACUACGUGCCAAUCACAUCUUCAUAAGGCUGUUUUUUGUUUUUUUGUUUGUUUUUUUUUUUUAAAAAAAAAGGCCUCGUAAUGGAGAUGAGUACAGCCUGGCCUCAGUCUCCCCACCUGCAAUGUGGGGGAUCCCCGUGUGCCUUGCACCACCUGAGAGCUCCAGGCUUAGGAGGAGACCGAGGUGAGCCCUGUUUCUAGCCAGAAACCCCAAGGCCCUAACCCCCAGGGCUGGGCAGCUGCAGGGCCCAGGCUACUGCCCCUCCGGGGAUGGACGGUGCGAGGCCACUCCAGGGGCAUGACCUGUUUUGGGCAGGCGGUGGCUGUGGGGAGAAGAGUGGGGAGGUCCCUUUCUUUUUUCUUCCUGAAUAAAAAAAUGCAUGAUGCUACAUGUGCCUUGGGAUUUUUCAACACAAUUAUCUAAAAAUAGUGUGGGCCACCACAGCCUGAUUCCUUUUUAGGAAGGAUUUUGGGAGCCCAGCCUGUCCUGGCGGCCAGCUCAGGAAGUGGAGGCUUGUCUGGGUGGGGCCGGGGCUGCAGCGACCCUUCCCUAGCUCCGGCCAAGCCCACCCCAUCUCCCACUUCGCUGAGAGCCGGGCUGCCAGGAGUGCAUGGUGGGGCGGCCAGUGGCUUCCUGGCGGGGCCCACAGCCCCAGUGAAUUUCAGCCCUGCUGCUAGGGCACUGCAUGACUUCU
rnacentral:lncRNA from 1 species